rnacentral:rRNA from 1 species
CAGCAGCCGCGGGAAAACGUAGGGUGCGAGCGUUAAUCGGAAUUACUGGGCGUAAAGCGUGCGCAGGCGGUUGUGUAAGACAGGUGUGAAAUCCCCGGGCUUAACCUGGGAACUGCGCUUGUGACUGCACAGCUAGAGUAUGGCAGAGGGGGGUAGAAUUCCACGUGUAGCAGUGAAAUGCGUAGAGAUGUGGAGGAAUACCGAUGGCGAAGGCAGCCCCCUGGGCCAAUACUGACGCUCAUGCACGAAAGCGUGGGGAGCAAACAGGAUUAGAUACCCCCGUAGUCCCUGUCUCUUAUAC